AAUUGAUCGGUCCCACGUUUUUUUAUAUUACAGAUGCUUUCAUGAGCGUUUAUUGUGCGAUUGUGGCUUGAUAAAUAAAGUCAAGAACAACAAAAUAUAAAUGACGCGAUCGUUGAAGCAUGCAAACAGGAUGAAGACUGUCCUGAGAAGCAGUACUGUUAUAAACUUUCUGGACACUGCGUGAAUUAUACGAUAUGCAGCAGGUACAAUCGUGUCGAAACAGAUAAAUUGGCACGGAACCCUUUUCAAUGCGGGCCAUGCUUUGAGGGGUGAUGAGUGACAAAUGCCGAUAUAAAACUUCAGUUUAAUCCACGAGCUGAUUAUGUGUCACUGUCAAAAUAAACUGUGCGAUUAGAAUGGCGUCGUAUGACCGUAAUCAUCAAAGUCAACGGCGAACACAUAUACAAAUGAAGUGCUUGCAAACGGCCACGAUGGGUCAUACUGCGCGAAAAAGAUCCAGACAGAAAAUUCACUGUCUACAAUAGAUCAAACCGCGCUAAUAUGGUUACUUGUAGGAACUUUGACCCAUACAGCACCGAAAGAUUGCAGAAACGUUGCAGAAAUCUUACAUUGAAAGAUUGCAAUAUUGCAUGGAAGUUGCGAAAUGUCUCUGCAAUGUUGCUGCAACAUUGCAGUAACGUUGAAAUGUCCGCCCUAGGAAACAUUGCA
rnacentral:misc_RNA from 1 species